UGGGGAAUAUUGCACAAUGGGCGCAAGCCUGAUGCAGCCAUGCCGCGUGUAUGAAGAAGGCCUUCGGGUUAUAAAGUACUUUCAGUCGGGAGGAAGGUGGUAAGGUUAAUAACCUUAUCAAUUGACGUUACCGACAGAAGAAGCACCGGCUAACUCCGUGCCAGCAGCCGCGGUAAUACGGAGGGUGCAAGCGUUAAUCGGAAUUACUGGGCGUAAAGCGCACGCAGGCGGUUGAUUGAGUCAGAUGUGAAAUCCCCGGGCUUAACCCGGGAAUUGCAUCUGAUACUGGUCAGCUAGAGUCUUGUAGAGGGGGGUAGAAUUCCAUGUGUAGCGGUGAAAUGCGUAGAGAUGUGGAGGAAUACCGGUGGCGAAGGCGGCCCCCUGGACAAAGACUGACGCUCAGGUGCGAAAGCGUGGGGAGCAAACAGG
rnacentral:rRNA from 1 species